rnacentral:ncRNA from 1 species
GAAAGUAGGGGUGCUUUAAAAAGCUGAGAUAGGUAAAUCUACUACCUAGACCCUUUGAACCUGAUAAGGUUAAUACCUGCGCAGGGAACUUUAUUUUA